ACAAGCCGCCCACUCAGUCAAAACUCACGCGUUCCCUUCAAAUCCACUCUCUUUUACUUUCUCAAUAUAAAAAAUUUUCCUUCACUUUCCCGGAAAAUUCACAUGCAAUGCCAAACACAAACGUGUUCUUAUAAUUAGACACCCAUAUAAAUACCACCAAAUCUUUUCCCAGUCCACCCACCAUUUAUCAAUCAACUACCUUCUCUGUCUCUGUACAUAUAAAUCUUGAUUUUAAUUCAUUUUUUUCGGUUCUUGAAAAUGUCGACCGUGAAGCUGUCCGUUUUGCCGAUUGUUGGGUUGAUGAUCUUGGCUCUGUUGCAGAUUGGAUUUGCCCAAACUAUGGCUCCUUCUCUUGCACCAGAAGCUCCGUCUAAUGAUGGCAAGUCAAUUGAUCAAGGAGUUGCUUAUGUUCUUCUAGUUGUGGCACUUGCAAUCACAUACCUUGUUCAUUAAUUAUCUUCUUUUUCUUAGCUAUUAAUUUUUAGUUAAUAUACUCAAUUUUUUUUAUGUAUUUUCUCUGGAUAGAUUUGGAGAAAUUGCAGCAAUUUUUGUAUCUAAAUUAUUUAUUUAUUUUUGUAUCAAGCAACUAUUCAUUUAUAUUGAGAAAUAAAAUACUUUGUUCUAAA